GUUUAUGGGAUUGUCGUUGUGCCCCGCAUGGAGCCCCAGUUAUGUCCCGCAUCGAUUCCCAGGUGUAGCCCCCCUGGCUUUGAAAAGGACACGGAGGAGCUGGAGCGUGUCCAGCGAUUUGUGAAAGGGCUGGGGAAGAUGUGUGAGAACGGCUGGGGGAGCUGGGUUUGUUUAAUCCCGAGGAAGAUGAGAGCAAAGAUACAGCAAAAACACUGCUUAAAGGGCUGGCUGGGGGUGUUACACUGACUUCUGUUAAAAACGUUUCAAGCUACAGGAGAGUGUAUUACGUUUAAGAAGAUGAACACAGAUGGCCUUGGAUGUGACACUUCAUGGAAAUAAGAUGCAAAAAGUAUUCCAGGGCAUGAAAUCUUCCCAUCUUUUCAGCGAAGCCUUUUUCAGCAAGAAAAGCUGAUUCUUCAGUCCUGGGAUGCAGAGUGUGUUGUCUGUCACUGGGGUUUUAUCCUCAUGCUGAGUUUGGACUGCCUGGCCAAAGGACAGAGAUCUUGUCUUCUCUCACAUUUGGUGAAGUGCAGCUCAAGUGAUCCUGGAACAGAG